CAGCAGCCACGGUAAUACAGAGGGUGCGAGCGUUAAUCGGAUUUACUGGGCGUAAAGCGUGCGUAGGCGGCUUCUUAAGUCGGAUGUGAAAUCCCUGAGCUUAACUUAGGAAUUGCAUUCGAUACUGGGAAGCUAGAGUAUGGGAGAGGAUGGUAGAAUUCCAGGUGUAGCGGUGAAAUGCGUAGAGAUCUGGAGGAAUACCGAUGGCGAAGGCAGCCAUCUGGCCUAAUACUGACGCUGAGGUACGAAAGCGUGGGGAGCAAACAGGAUUAGAGACCCCAGUAGUCCCUGUCUCUUAUAA
rnacentral:rRNA from 1 species